rnacentral:rRNA from 1 species
UAGAGUUUGAUCAUGGCUCAGGACGAACGCUGGCGGCGUGCUUAACACAUGCAAGUCGAGCGGAAAGGCCCUUCGGGGUACUCGAGCGGCGAACGGGUGAGUAACACGUGAGCAACCUGCCCCAAGCUUUGGGAUAACCCUCGGAAACGGGGGCUAAUACCGAAUAGGACUUCUGGCCGCAUGGCUGGUGGUGGAAAGUUUUUCGGCUUGGGAUGGGCUCGCGGCCUAUCAGCUUGUUGGUGGGGUGAUGGCCUACCAAGGCGACGACGGGUAGCCGGCCUGAGAGGGCGACCGGCCACACUGGGACUGAGACACGGCCCAGACUCCUACGGGAGGCAGCAGUGGGGAAUAUUGCACAAUGGGCGGAAGCCUGAUGCAGCGACGCCGCGUGAGGGAUGACGGCCUUCGGGUUGUAAACCUCUUUCAGCAGGGACGAAGCGAGAG